UGGCGAACGGGUGAGUAACACGUGGGUGAUCUGCCCUGCACUUUGGGAUAAGCCUGGGAAACUGGGUCUAAUACCGAAUAUGAUCAUCGGCUUCAUGGUCGGUGGUGGAAAGCUUUUGCGGUGUGGGAUGGGCCCGCGGCCUAUCAGCUUGUUGGUGGGGUAAUGGCCUACCAAGGCGACGACGGGUAGCCGGCCUGAGAGGGUGACCGGCCACACUGGGACUGAGAUACGGCCCAGACUCCUACGGGAGGCAGCAGUGGGGAAUAUUGCACAAUGGGCGCAAGCCUGAUGCAGCGACGCCGCGUGAGGGAUGACGGCCUUCGGGUUGUAAACCUCUUUCAGCACAGACGAAGCGCAAGUGACGGUAUGUGCAGAAAAAGGACCGGCCAACUACGUGCCAGCAGCCGCGGUAAUACGUAGGGUCCGAGCGUUGUCCGGAAUUACUGGGCGUAAAGAGCUCGUAGGUGGUUUGUCGCGUUGUUCGUGAAAACUCACAGCUUAACU
rnacentral:rRNA from 1 species